UCAAGAUUUCACUUAGUGGUA
rnacentral:piRNA from 1 species